GGGUAAACUUUUCUUUGGUUAUAUGAUCAAAAUUUACAGCCUUUCUCAAUAACCAAAAUUGAUUUCAACUUAGAAUUUCAUCAACAUAUUCAACUCUAUUGAAUGUUUAAGGGUUCUUUUCAUUUGGAAUGACUAAACGGCUAAAUCUAAUACAAAGGAAGCUUGCAUUUGCUAACGCUUCGAUGCCUACCAAAGCUAAUUCUGGGGCAACCUGAGGGAAGCCCAAGGUGCUCUUCGUUAUAGUUGACAGCUACAAGGCUCAGCCCAUGAGGUGGUGAAGGCAAAGUGUAUUUGGCCAGCUCCUUGCGAUCACGAGUCUCCAAAAUCUUGGGGACAAUUUCGGGAGGAAUUGCUUCCUUACCAAUUUGGAGGAGCAAAGCAACCAUGUUUCGCACUUGUCUAUACAAGAAGCCCGUGCCUUCAACUUCUAGCUGUAGUAGAGCUCCCUUUUCGAUGACAUCAAAACGAAAAAUAGUCUUCACUGGAUCUGGCACUCGAUCAUUGCGAGAUGCAUUGGCAAAAGCAGAGAAAUCAUGCAUUCCUACAAAAUGCUUCGCAGCUUGUCUCAUGGCAUCAACAUUGAGUUUAUAAGCAAUAUGGUAUGCAUAUUGGCGCUGAAAUGGAUCCAUGAUGGUCUCAUUAUAUAUCUUGUAGUGAUAAACCUUGCUCUUUGCCGAAAAUCGAGCAUGGAAUUCAAGAACUGCAGGGCUAAUUUCUCUAACUCGGACAUCAGGAGGAAGGAGACCGUUGAGAGCUGCAUGAAUGCUAUCCAAGCAGUCAUAAUUGAAAGGUGUAACAAAGUGUGCCACCUGAAACCUCAACUGAUAGUGAGUUUGUUUCAUGUCCGUUAAUGCUUGUAGAAUCCUCAAAAGAGUAAGAAAGUCAGACCUGACCCCACGCAUGAACUCCUGUAUCUGUCCUACUUGCGCCAACUAAAAGAAGAUCUUUUCUUUCUAGCCUUGUAACUCGAAUUAAAGUUUUUUCCAUAAUGCACUGUAUAGUUGGAGGGGAUUGCUGAAAUUGCCAACCUGACAAUAAAAAUAACAAAAAUAGCACAAUUUUAACAAAAUGUUCUGACAAUGGCAAGGACUUUGGAUGCUGGCGCAUUUGAAACUUGAAGUUCAACAUAUCAACAGCCUCAAGGCAUCGUCAUUAGAUUACAGGAGCUCCAAACGCCAGACAUAGGGGAUCUUUAGAUAAAAGUAGCACAGAUCCCUGCGUAACGGGUGCCAUCGUAAGCAAUAACCAAACGCCAUUUAAACCCAUCAACGGCUGAGUGUUUCACAGUCUGGAUAGCUUCAUCUGUGCCACCAUUUCCCACAUCCUGUCACAACGGGAUCAGAACAAAGCUCGUCACCUUCACCACCACGCCAGGGGUUAGGGAAAAGUGUGGGAAUAGCCUUACCGAGAUAUUAUUGGAUGAAGAAACACUUAAGCUUGGAUGUAGAGAAGAGGAUACGCUCAGUAUCCCAUACUUCAUCAUCUCCAGAGCAACCCUCCUUUCUGAAGAAGAAACAGUCUCUUUACGGGACGGAGGAGGGAGAAAGGCAAAACCCAGAGGAAGAAAUUCCAAGGGUACAAAACAAGAUACCGUUUAAAAAUGAUACAGCCGUGAAC
rnacentral:misc_RNA from 1 species